CAGCAGCCACGGGAAAACGUAGGGUGCAAGCGCUAAUCGGAAUUACUGGGCGUAAAGCGUGCGCAGGCGGUCCGCUAAGACAGAUGUGAAUUCCCCGGGCUUAACCUGGGAACUGCAUUUGUGACUGGCGGGCUAGAGUAUGGCAGAGGGGGGUAGAAUUCCACGUGUAGCAGUGAAAUGCGUAGAGAUGUGGAGGAAUACCGAUGGCGAAGGCAGCCCCCUGGGCCAAUACUGACGCUCAUGCACGAAAGCGUGGGGAGCAAACAGGAUUAGAUACCCGGGUAGUCCCUGUCUCUUAUAC
rnacentral:rRNA from 1 species